GAUGAACGCUGGCGGCGUGCCUAAUACAUGCAAGUCGAGCGAACAGACGAGGAGCUUGCUCCUUUGACGUUAGCGGCGGACGGGUGAGUAACACGUGGGUAACCUACCUAUAAGACUGGGAUAACUUCGGGAAACCGGAGCUAAUACCGGAUAAUAUUUCGAACCGCAUGGUUCGAUAGUGAAAGAUGGCUUUGCUAUCACUUAUAGAUGGACCUGCGCCGUAUUAGCUAGUUGGUAAGGUAACGGCUUACCAAGGCAACGAUACGUAGCCGACCUGAGAGGGUGAUCGGCCACACUGGAGCUGAGACACGGUCCAGACUCCUACGGGAGGCAGCAGUAGGGAAUCUUCCGCAAUGGGCGAAAGCCUGACGGAGCAACGCCGCGUGAGUGAUGAAGGUCUUCGGAUCGUAAAACUCUGUUAUUAGGGAAGAACAAACGUGUAAGUAACUGUGCACGUCUUGACGGUACCUAAUCAGAAAGCCACGGCUAACUACGUG
rnacentral:rRNA from 1 species